AUUGAACGCUGGCGGCAGGCCUAACACAUGCAAGUCGAACGAGUGGCGGACGGGUGAGUAAUGUCUGGGAAACUGCCCGAUGGAGGGGGAUAACUACUGGAAACGGUAGCUAAUACCGCAUACCAUCGGAUGUGCCCAGAUGGGAUUAGCUAGUAGGUGGGGUAACGGCUCACCUAGGCGUCGAUCCCUAGCUGGUCUGAGAGGGUGACAAGCCACACUGGAACUGAGACACGGUCCAGACGCCUACGAGAGGCAGCAGUGGGGAAUAUUGCACAAUGGGCGCAAGCCUGAUGCAGCCAUGCCGCGUGAAUGAAGAAGGCCUUCGGGUUGUAAAGUACUUUCAGCGGGGAGGCGUUACCCGCAGAAGAAGCACCGGCUAACGCCGUGCCAGCAGCCACGGUAAUAC
rnacentral:rRNA from 1 species